rnacentral:misc_RNA from 1 species
UCUUGUUAACAUGCAACACACAGUAAUACCCUCAUGGUAUCAACGGGAAGGAUAUAUCAAAGCCAUGGCAGAUUUGAUGGAAAAAGAGUUGAACAUGUUUGAACGUCCGGAGGAGGUGAUGAUAUUCUUCAGUGCUCAUGGUGUACCACUUGCAUAUGUAGAGGAAGCAGGUGAUCCAUACAAGGCUGAGAUGGAGGAAUGUGUGGACUUAAUAAUGGAAGAACUUGAGAAGAGAAGGGUACAUAAUGCAUAUACUUUGGCAUAUCAGAGUAGGGUUGGACCUGUUGAAUGGCUUAAACCAUAUACUGAUGAGACAAUAAUUGAGCUUGGGAAAAAAGGGGUAAAGAGUCUUCUUGCCGUGCCAAUAAGUUUUGUAAGUGAGCAUAUUGAGACAUUAGAGGAAAUUGAUGUUGAAUACAAGGAGCUAGCAUUGGAGUCUGGAAUACAGAACUGGGCACGUGUUCCUGCCCUAGGUGUUGAACCCACUUUCAUUUCAGAUUUGGCAGAUGCAGUGAUUGAAAGUCUUCCAUAUGUUGGAGCAAUGGCAG